UACGUAGGGGGCAAGCGUUGUCCGGAAUUAUUGGGCGUAAAGAGCUCGUAGGCGGUCUGUUGCGUCUGCUGUGAAAACUCGGGGCUUAACCCCGAGACUGCAGUGGAUACGGGCAGACUAGAGGUAGGUAGGGGAGAAUGGAAUUCCCGGUGUAGCGGUGAAAUGCGCAGAUAUCGGGAGGAACACCGGUGGCGAAGGCGGUUCUCUGGGCCUUACCUGACGCUGAGGAGCGAAAGCGUGGGGAGCGAACAGG
rnacentral:rRNA from 1 species